GGGGAUGGAGCUCAGUGGAAGAGCGCCCACUUUGCAUGUGGGAGGUCCUGGGUUCAAUCCCUGGCAUCUCCA